ACAGCUGUAGGUGUGCCAACAGCUGGGAGCUCUAGGGGUUUCUGGGGGCUGCUGCUGGACAGGCUGCAGGUCUGGUGCCAACAGUGGGUGUGGUCUGUGAGGCUGAAUUGUACCAGCAGGAGGGGAGGAGCAGGAUCAGGCCACCCGGGCUGUUCAUCUGAGUGUUGUGUGCAUGCAGGGGAACGGCACCACCUAGUGCUGCUUGCCUGCUGCAGCUCGCGAGGGUUCGUGCUGACAGCAGCUGGGCUAGGGCAGACCAGCACGGGCACAAGGUAGGCCUGCUCUCUGCAUAAGUAUCUCCUCAGCAAGUUCUGAUCACAGCCUCUGAAGAGGGCCCACCAGCAGUCGGGCUGCUGCGGCUCCUGUGUUCCCAGGGUGUCACACAGGUGGAGGAGGAAGGAUGAGAGCUCACCCCUUCAGCUGGUGGCUGUUCUGCUCAUAAGUGUAAUCUUAGAUGUGGAUUUAUUGAAGGCGUGGUCACGGGUGACCCACAGGGAAAAUGGUAAACAGGGACAACACCACCACUUGUCUCACAUUGAUGCCAACUGUCUUUAUGCUGAAUUGAUGAAACAGCUGAAAGAAGAGCAUCUAAUUGAGCCCUGAGUGCAGCUGCCAGAUUGCUCACCACGGCUGUUUCCAGCAUAAUUGAUAUAGGCAAUCAUUGUUUAAUGAACUUCACGUACGAAUUUCAGUGGAUGAAAACUCUCGAUAUGGAAGCACAGGAGGCAGACAGGAGGGCGCUUGCUUUCAUCUGGCGAGGGCUCCGGCGUGUAUUUACUCGUGUCUCACAAGGCUUAUCCCAACCUACCUCUCUGUCCACGCUGCGUCGGCCGAAGAGCUGGAAACAUUAAUAUUACCACCAGAGGUCACUGUGGGGCAACGCAUCAGUGGUGCCUUCAGAGGCGGCCGAUAGGCAGAACGUGUGAACCGGGCUGUGAGCACUUGUCAUUACACUCCUGCGGUUCGGUAAAACCGGUAAGAAACAAAACAAAACCACCAAAACCAAACAACCGAGGAUUCAGUGAGGAAUUAAUCUUCUGGGGAGACAGUGGCAGGUGGGAGAAGAACUGUCCCUGCUGAGGUACUACCCGAUGGUUACACGUGCUUCAGAAUAAGAGGAGCUAUGCACUGUGCUGGAGACUUUAGGAUCUUGGAGAGUAUCUGUUCCAGGAAUUAUUAUAAUAGGUUGGCCAUCCUAUAACUUACUAUAGAAAACAAGAGCCUGAAUCCUGCAGCAUCACUGGGAGAAAUCAAUGAGUGAUAGAAGCAUGUGGUUCCCUGCUGCAGUAUACAGUGGUGUCCAUCUUCCCUCCUCUAGGGAGGCUUGCACCUUGCUCAGCCUGGGGUGCUAUGAAGAGUCUGUUCAGGCUUCUCUGACCCUUGAUCUAUUACUCUGUACAGUAUAUAUGUCCUGUGCACAUAUGUUUGUGAGGGGGGCCUCUACUAGGAAUACAAUGUCCUGGCUGGAACAGGGAACACAGAGAUGUGGCAGUGUUGCCUCCAUCAGACAACUGACUUCAGCACCAUGACAAUUUGGACUGCAGGGUGGCAGAACCCCAAGGUACAAAACAUGACCGGGUGGAGGCAGCUGCCUUUGAGUCAGUGCAGCACAAGUCUGCAGGAGAAAGCCCACCCAGCAGCAACAGACUUGAUCUUCUGAAAGGUACGCAGGUGGAGCAUCCAUUUCUCAUGAGGAAGAAAUACUGAAUAAAGAACUAGAGCUCCAGCAGUGAAGAAUAGCGAAACACGCUGCCUUUACAGUCUGCAGCAAGUUAUGCCACUGUAGAAAUUAAACCAAGACACGUUGUUGAUUUCUGAAGUGCCAAAAGAAGGACAAGGUCAGAGCUGGUCUCUGAAUACAUCAUCCCAAUGGCAUUUCAAUGGAAAUGCAAAUUUAGGAAUUUGGGAUUAGGAACAAAUAAUUUCAGAAAAUAGACACAGACCCAGAAGAAUUAAAGGAAAGGAGUUGGGCAGAUCCCGUAUGUUGUAGACCAAUACACAGAUCAGCAAGCACACACAGAGAAAGAAGAAUAUUACCUGUCAGUGGAAGGUGAGAAAACAAACAUGGGAGGAUGAUAUUUGCCAAGAAGGUAGAUCUUGUGAUAGUCCACAGAAUCAGAACUCAGUGGCUCUGGAGGCCUUAAAUGUAAGUAGCUUUUUAAGAAGUAAUAACUUUCUCCUUCCAGAGUGAUAUUUGGGUACCUACAACUCAUCUCCCCCACUGUUAUUUUAAACUAGUGAAAUGGAGGUUAGAGCCAGCAUUGCUUAUCAGUUUAAUCAUCAGGCCAUAGAUUUCUGUUCCUUCUUCUUACUGGCUUUUAUUGUCACUUAACACUUUGUUUCUUUCUGGUAACACUACCCUUUGCUUUAAUAAUCUCUCCCUUUAUCCUGGCCUCCAGCCUGUACUUUAACAUGGUUAUUCUGGGAGGUAAAAUAUGUAAUUUCCAAUGUUCUUAACUAUAGAAAAUGCUUGCCUUGCAAGGAUGUAUGGGAUUUGAUAUACAAAUAGACUUCCCCUCUAGCAAAGCUUACUAGAUAUCCAAAAGGGCAUGAAUGUUGCUUUCCAUCAUAGAGUGCCUCAUUCCCAAAGCUCUUUGUGCUUCAAUGAAAUCUGAAUUGGAAAAAGAUGAUAGGUAUAAUAUCUCCCUGGGCGAUUUACUGCACUUGCUUAAAUCAGAAGACCUUCCUAAUCUCUGUCUCUGAGAAAUGCUUGGGAAAAUAGGAUGUUCUUACAAGAGCAAGCUGUUAAUAAAGCCUUUUCCUG
rnacentral:lncRNA from 7 species